UAGAGUUUGAUCAUGGCUCAGAACGAACGCUGGCGGCAGGCCUAACACAUGCAAGUCGAGCGAGAUCUUCGGGUCUAGCGGCGGACGGGUGAGUAACGCGUGGGAAUAUGCCCUUCUCUACGGAAUAGCCUCGGGAAACUGAGAGUAAUACCAUAUACGCCCUUUGGGGGAAAGAUUUAUCGGAGAAGGAUUAGCCCGCGUUGGAUUAGGUAGUUGGUGGGGUAAUGGCCUACCAAGCCGACGAUCCAUAGCUGGUUUGAGAGGAUGAUCAGCCACACUGGGACUGAGACACGGCCCAGACUCCUACGGGAGGCAGCAGUGGGGAAUCUUAGACAAUGGGGGCAACCCUGAUCUAGCCAUGCCGCGUGAGUGAUGAAGGCCUUAGGGUUGUAAAGCUCUUUCAGCUGGGAAGAUAAUGACGGUACCAGCAGAAGAAGUCCCGGCUAACUCCGUGCCAGCAGCCGCGGUAAU
rnacentral:rRNA from 1 species